UACGAAGGGGGCUAGCGUUGCUCGGAAUCACUGGGCGUAAAGGGUGCGUAGGCGGGUCUUUAAGUCAGGGGUGAAAUCCUGGAGCUCAACUCCAGAACUGCCUUUGAUACUGAAGAUCUUGAGUUCGGGAGAGGUGAGUGGAACUGCGAGUGUAGAGGUGAAAUUCGUAGAUAUUCGCAAGAACACCAGUGGCGAAGGCGGCUCACUGGCCCGAUACUGACGCUGAGGCCCGAAAGCGUGGGGAGCAAACAGG
rnacentral:rRNA from 1 species